UCUGGAAGUCUAUAAUGGGACCCUUUAGAAAAGGUCAUUUCAUUAUCAAGGAAAAUCCAUUAAGCUGAAAUAGUUCAAAUAAUAAUACAUGGCAACACUGCUAGAAAGAGCGAGAGAAGUCGAUGACUCACGAGUGUCAAAAAGAAACAUCUCUUCUAAAGGCCAGUUGCUGUACUGUUCUCGUAGCUAGUAGCUACUUUGAUUGUAUAUGUUAUCGGUUCUGGGAAGCAUUGAUAUGUUUUUGGAUUUUGCAGUUCUCUCAACCUGGCAGUAUUUGAUGCAAAAUACAUGGACAUCAUGCAUGUUCAGCUUGCUUGGCCUGGCUUGCCCUUUUAUUGUCCAAUGGUUCAAUGUGACAGACAGCCAAAGGAUUGCAGAUUGCCCAUCUCAUAAAAUUUGUAGUAUUAUGAUUAUGAUGAACAUGGAGCUCGUUGAUUGUCUUCUAUAAACCAUGAACGCCAGUGAGGACCACCAAGUUCUCUAUAUGUUCGUUUUGGCUUUUCGGCCAUUAGGGUUCUCCAGCAACUAUCGAAACUGACUAGGUACCUUGUUCACUCGCAUUAAAAUAUCGCAACCUCAUAUGUCAUGGGAAGUAGUUGCCAUGUCUGAUGUCUGUGUGGUCCAGGAAAUUCUCUCUAUAAGCACUAAUUUGCCAACAUCAGGUGAGAAACAAACGAAGGUGUUUAUUUUCUAGCUAUCUUAGAGAAACUAAUUACUUCAUUUCUUGCCCUCUAAAUUGGAUGUAUGGAUUGCAGACUUUAUUCAUGCCUUGUAAGACUGGAUAUAUAUAUUGACU
rnacentral:lncRNA from 1 species